GACGAACGCUGGCGGCGUGCUUAACACAUGCAAGUCGAACGGCAAGGCCCUGCUUUUGUGGGGUGCUCGAGUGGCGAACGGGUGAGUAACACGUGAGUAACCUGCCCUUGAUUUUGGGAUAACUUCAGGAAACUGGGGUUAAUACCGGAUAGGAGCUCCUGCUGCAUGGUGGGGGUUGGAAAGUUUAGGCGGUUGGGGAUGGACUCGCGGCUUAUCAGCUUGUUGGUGGGGUAGUGGCUUACCAAGGCCUUGACGGGUAGCCGGCCUGAGAGGGGGGCCGGGGACAAGACUACUACGGUACGGAGCAGUCGGGUACGGUGGGCAACAGGCGGGAGUAUGACACAGCGAUCCCAAGCGUGUUGAGAAGGCGCUGGGGUUGUAAAGCCGGUUUGUGGGGUGUGAACCGCUUUCGCCUGUGACGAAGCGGGAGUGACGGUAAUGGAUGAAUAAGCACCGGCUAACUACGUG
rnacentral:rRNA from 1 species